CCUACGGGUGGCAGCAGUGAGGAAUAUUGGUCAAUGGGCUUACGCCUGAACCAGCCAAGUCGCGUGAGGGAAGACUGCCCUAUGGGUUGUAAACCUCUUUUGUCAGGGAGCAACGCCGGCUACGUGUAGCCGGACUGAGAGUACCUGAAGAAGAAGCCCCGGCUAACUACGUGCCAGCAGCCGCGGUAAUACGUAGGGGGCAAGCGUUAUCCGGAUUUACUGGGUGUAAAGGGGGCGCAGGCGGCGAUGCAAGCCAGGAGUGAAGGCCCGGGGCCCAACCCCGGGACUGCGUGUGGGACUGGGUGGCUGGAGUGCAGGAGGGGCAGGCGGAAGUCCUGGUGUAGCGGUGAAAUGCGGAGAGAUCAGGAGGAACACCGGUGGCGAAGGCGGCCUGCUGGACUGCAACUGACGUUGAGGCCCGAAAGCGUGGGGAGCAAACAGGAUUAGAUACCCUGGUAGUC
rnacentral:rRNA from 1 species